rnacentral:rRNA from 1 species
GUGCAGCAGUCGCGAAACCUUCGCAAUGCGGGAAACCGCGACGAGGGGACUCCCAGUGCCUACGCUCAGCGUAGGCUGUUCCCGAGCCUAGAAAGCUCGGGGAGUAAGGGCUGGGUAAGACGGGUGCCAGCCGCCGCGGUAAUACCCGCAGCCCGAGUGGUGGCCACUAUUAUUGGGCCUAAAGCGUCCGUAGCCGGCCCGGUAAAUGCCUGGGUAAAUCGUGAGGCCUAACCUCACGAAUUCCGGGUAGACUGCCGGGCUAGGGACCGGAGGAGGGAGAGGGGUACUCCAGGGGUAGGGGUGAAAUCAGCAAGGUAAGCUGAUGUAACUUGCCUUGCAAGUCACAAUCCUGUAAUCCUUGGAGGACCACCGGUGGCGAAAGCGCUCUCCUAGGACGGGUCCGACGGUGAGGGACGAAAGCCAGGGGAGCAAACCGGAUUAGAUACCCGCGUAGU